CCGAAUUCGUCGACAACAGAGUUUGAUCCUGGCUCAGGAUGAACGCUGGCGGCGUGCCUAAUACAUGCAAGUCGAGCGAAUGGAUUAAGAGCUUGCUCUUAUGAAGUUAGCGGCGGACGGGUGAGUAACACGUGGGUAACCUGCCCAUAAGACUGGGAUAACUCCGGGAAACCGGGGCUAAUACCGGAUAACAUUUUGCACCGCAUGGUGCGAAAUUGAAAGGCGGCUUCGGCUGUCACUUAUGGAUGGACCCGCGUCGCAUUAGCUAGUUGGUGAGGUAACGGCUCACCAAGGCAACGAUGCGUAGCCGACCUGAGAGGGUGAUCGGCCACACUGGGACUGAGACACGGCCCAGACUCCUACGGGAGGCAGCAGUAGGGAAUCUUCCGCAAUGGACGAAAGUCUGACGGAGCAACGCCGCGUGAGUGAUGAAGGCUUUCGGGUCGUAAAACUCUGUUGUUAGGAAGAACAAGUGCUAGUUGAAUAAGCUGGCACCUUGACGGUACCUAACCAGAAAGCCACGGCUAACUACGUGCCAGCAGCCGCGGUAAUACGUAGGUGGCAAGCGUUAUCCGGAAUUAUUGGGCGUAAAGCGCGCGCAGGUGGUUUCUUAAGUCUGAUGUGAAAGCCCACGGCUCAACCGUGGAGGGUCAUUGGAAACUGGGAGACUUGAGUGCAGAAGA
rnacentral:rRNA from 1 species